GCCUGUGUGGCUCAGUCCGUUGAGUGUCUGACUACAGCUCAGGUCAUGAUCUCAUGGUCCGUGGGUUCGAGCCCCACGUCAGGCU
rnacentral:tRNA from 1 species